GGCAGAUGUGUGGGACACUCAGGGCCCUUCAGAUCUCCCCCAGGAGCCACUGAUACAGGACUUGAGCUUGGAGGGAGCUGGAGUGGCCGCUUGCUGAGUCUUUCUCCCUGGAGCUCGUGGGCAGCUGGUUACCUCGCGCUGGGGCGACCCUGACUUAGGACCUCCUGCCGUUUCUCUGGGUGACUGCUCUGUAGUCGUGAGUCGUCUCUUUAAUGCUGAGCAUCAGUACCUGCACAGCCCUGAAUGGAGCAGCUGCCCAGAAUCUGUCUUGUCAUCGAUAGAUGGACAGUUGCCGAGUGUCCUGCGUGCCGACUGACUAAGGAGUUUUUGUCUCUGUCACCCUGUCCCCUGUGGUUUUAUGAAGACGUUAGUUAUGAAUCCGUGUUUAGGAUGAGAAGAUGUAAACAGUGAGGAGGAUAAGUGAGAAGCUAGCAAGAGUCUGGAUGGUGAUGGCGGGGGAGCGCUGGUGGAGGAGUCGGGGGCGUCCCGCUGGACUGGGGCACAGCUCUGCAGCAGCAGCCGGUGCGGUUUUGCCUUGUAAGUGACACCGUUGCCUGCAGGCAUCUCUGACAGCUGCUCCUGCUCCAGAUUCCAGAAAUUUCUAUGGAACAUUUCCUGAACCAUCCUCCUGGUUUCUUCCCUUCCCCUCACUGAAUAAAAUCCGUAAUAGCACCUGCCGCUUGAGUGUUUGUCUCUGCAGGACGCCGUGUUCAGGGCUGGGUGCCCUUUGUGUCAUUUUGUUAUCCUGGUCACUGCCAGACAGAGGUGGUAGGACCCUCAUUUGUCAGGUCAGGAGCCUGCAGCCUGGAGAGUUUAAAGCCUUGCCUGAAUCCACCCACUUCUGAAGGUGGCAGAGUCAGGAUUCGAACUCGGGACCCGUGGACACCAGCCACCUAUGGGCCUUUAUUUUUAUAUUUUUAAAAACUUUUAGUUUCAGGGGUACACAUGCAGGUGUGUUAUAUAGGUAAGUUGGGUGUCAUGGUGGUCUGGUGUACAGAUUAUUACAACGCAUAGUAAGUACAGUACCUGAUAGGUAGUUUUUCAGUCCUUUCCCUCCCACCCUCCACCCUCAAGCAGGCCUUGGUGGCCGUUGUUCCAUUCUUUGUGUCAAUGUUGAGCUCAAGUGAGACCAUGAGAUAUUUGGUUUUCUGUUCCUCCGCUG
rnacentral:lncRNA from 1 species